AAAUGUGCCUCAUAUCACCUUAGAAUCCAAAGAACUGAGAGGAGUAAAUGCAGUAGUUGUCUUCCCUAGAUCUCUGGAUUUGGGAAAUAUGAAAGGAAAUGGAUAUUUGGAAGCUAUCACCUUCACUUGAGGAACAUGGAAUCCAGAAAAGUGUGCAUAUCAUGAUUAUUUCUUCAACGUUUGGAGGAUUGUCUGUUGGAAGAAGAUUUCAGGUAAAAUGUACAGAUCCCAAGAGAACGGAACUAUCGCAUCUCACUUUUUAAGUGAGGCUGAAAUGCAGUAAGACUUCAGGUCACAUACAGUCUUUUUGAUCCUUUCCUGAGUGAUAAAGACC
rnacentral:lncRNA from 1 species